rnacentral:tRNA from 1 species
GAAGGUGUAGUUCACAUGGGUUAAGAACCCCGGUCCUUUAAACCGGUUCGCGCGGACUCCCGAUCCGCCGCCUUCACCA